rnacentral:rRNA from 1 species
UUUCGUUCUUAAAUUAUACAACCAA